rnacentral:tRNA from 1 species
GAGCUUUUCGUCUAGCGGCCCAGGACGCUACAUUCUCAGUGUAGAAACGCGUGGUUCAAAUCCCGCAAGGCUCGCCA